CAUGCAGUAAUCACAGCAACAUCCAAAAGUGUGCUGCCAACUCCUGUUAAUGACAUGUGUAUUUUCAGUGAAGCCUUCCCUCGGCCCACAUACGUAUCCUCCGAUUUGUUCCGUCUUGCCUUCUCCCCCUGAAGCGUGAAAGAAGUAGGCACGCUGUUGGAAAACAAUGGGACCUUUUUUUACUUUUAUCGAGGAGGGAACAAACACAUCCACACGCACAAACAGAAAGAGACCCGGUGAUCACGACAGCACGAAAGAAAGUACAGUGAAGCUAUUGUAUCCAGGAGCGAUACCAGGAGAUGUUGACGGAUGAUCACACUCACAAAAAGUGAUGGAAGGAAGGAAGAUUCUAGUUCAUCUGAGCUCUGCAAAACACUUGUUUCUCGGUUAAUUUCUGCAUGUGCCUGAACACAUCGGAAGUGGUGUGAGGGGGAUCUGACACGUGGAGCAAACCGCCGGGCCUCCAACUGGAACACGACCGCUCUCCCCACAUGAGACCCGGCCGCCCCCACAUUUGUGUGGUUUGGGAGUUGACGAAGAGGAACUGAGAGACUGGAUUUGAGGAAAUUGCCGUCUCCACGGACCGAGCCAACAGCUCUCUUAUGUGAGCUCCAGAUGUGGUCACUUGAGACAUCAUCAGCUUUGCCUCGGACUAAUAAACAGGCUCAUGUUC